rnacentral:sRNA from 1 species
AACGAGACUUUAGCUGUCGGCGGAAACAUCUCAGACGGCAUUUCUUUGGUCAAGAGGAUGUGUAAUAGAACUUACCUAGAUGGAAGCGAUGAUGAGUUCCAGAUAAGUGACCAGGCUAACAGAGUGGUCAACAUGGAAGUAGCCAGUAUGUUGGAUGAACAGAAUGGAACAUUUGAGACCAUUGCAGACUUCAAAGUCUUGACAGAAACAUUGAUUUUUCAACGGCCCGAGUAUGAGACUGGCUG